GCUUAACACAUGCAAGUCGAACGGACAGAUUUAGAGCUUGCUUUAAAUCUGUUAGUGGCGGACGGGUGAGUAACGCGUGGGUAACCUGCCUUAAACAGAGGGAUAGCAAGUGGAAACGCUUGGUAAUACCACAUAAAGCCUAAGCAUUGCAUAAUGAAUAGGUGAAAGGAGGAAUCCGGUUUAAGAUGGGCCCGCGUCCAAUUAGCUAGUUGGUGAGGUAAGAGCGCACCAAGGCGACGAUUGGUAGCCGAACUGAGAGGUUGAGCGGCCACAUUGGGACUGAGAUACGGCCCAGACUCCUACGGGAGGCAGCAGUGGGGAAUAUUGCGCAAUGGGGGGAACCCUGACGCAGCGACGCCGCGUGAAGGAAGAAGGUCUUCGGAUUGUAAACUUCUUUGAUUAGGGAAGAGGAAGGACGGUACCUAAAGAACAAGCCACGGCUAACUACGUGCCAGCAGCCGCGGUAAUACGUAGGUGGCAAGCGUUGUCCGGAAUUACUGGGUGUAAAGGGCGAGUAGGUGGAUCACUAAGUCAGAGGUGAAAACCCAUGGCUAAACUGUGGGAUAGCAACUGAAACUAGAGAUCUUGAGUACUGGAGAGGGAAGCGGAAUUCCUAGUGUAGCGGUGAAAUGCGUAGAUAUUAGGAGGAACACCAGUGGCGAAGGCGGCUUCCUGGACAGAGACUGACACUGAGGCGCGAAAGCGUGGGGAGCGAACAGGAUUAGAUACCCUGGUAGUCCACGCUGUAAACGAUGGAUACUAGGUGUAGGUGGUAAGAAACCAUCUGUGCCGGAGUAAACACAAUAAGUAUCCCACCUGGGGAGUACAGCCGCAAGGUUGAAACUCCAAGGAAUUGACGGUGGCCCGCACAAGCAGUGGAGUAUGUGGUUUAAUUCGAAGCAACGCGAAGAACCUUACCAGGUCUUGACAUCCCUUGAACUAUUCUAGGGA
rnacentral:rRNA from 1 species